AGGCCAGUCAUGAAAAUAACUGUUGUCAGUUGUCUCCUUCUUUACUAUCGUUGAAAAAAUAUGGCGGUUGGUGACCACGUUAUGAUUUGGAUGAUUUGGAUUGUCAACGGUACUUUCCGUGUGUGUUGACCUACAGUAACAAUACCCACGGAUAACAAAAGACGUUUACAUCAAAAGUUCGUAAGAAAGAAAGCUUUUGAAUAAAUUUACGAAAAGGACGAAAAGACCUUGCGAAAUGUGAACGUACGGUAUGAAUGCAGGAUAUCAGCCAGAGGUCAUUCAGGCCCACUUUAAAUUAAACAAGAUAAGCAUGUUCUAUGAGGACCUUGGAGAGUAUGAAAAGUGAUACCAGUUAUCUUUGAUAGCUGCACAUUUAUCUCCUCAAGAUGCCGAUGAAUGGCUACGAUUAGCCGAGGUUUGUUUGAGUAAAAAUUCCAAUCCCAAAAUUCCUCUUCUUCUAACUUCUAAGAGACUGUUCUUCUAUUAGCAGUUAUAAACGAAGUGAAUUUAGACUGAGGCAAAUUCAAAAUAUUCAACUAAAACUCCCUGCAUAGAUAUGGUGUAUGUUUUAUUGUAAAGUUUAUACUAAUUCCUUUUAUUUCUCCUUUAGGUCAUGAUCAGAACUAUGGAAAAUAUUCUGUCCACCAGGGAAUGACGCCUUAGGACUUAGGAGAAAGAACUGCGGUUGCGAUCUUCAACAAUAUUGCGUAACAUAUUGCGUGAGCAUGAAUUUUGAUGCUGAAAGACUUGGAAAGUGUGGAAACCAUGCUGUCCACCACGCCGAGAAGCUGAAUAACAUUCUGCAUGUACAAUGUUCUGAAUGGCAGCUCUUAAUGUAAGGAACUUAAGCCAUCCAAUCUAGGACUUGCAUCCAAUUGUGCAGGCUGCUUGGAAGUCUCGUUUACCUUUGCUGUGAACAUCAUGAUCACAGGAAGGUUCAUGUUUACAUAGCAUGGUGUUGCUGUCCAAUGUGGCGUGUUGUUGCAGCCUAUGGUGGUGACAAAUAUCUGCAUCAAGUUGCUGUUUCUUGUGCAUCCAAGGUGCUGGUUUUGUGCUACAGAAGUUACAUCCAGUUUUGUGUUUAAUUGCCAUUCUUGUCUAUGCAGUUUACCUUUUAUAUAUUGAGAAGGAACAAAAAAAAGUAAUAUGCGGAGGUUUAUGUCAAACAAAUAAUAAACAUGUCCGCGAUUGGGGAAUGAGGAAGAAGUUGGGGUGGGAUACUUGAUUAUGAUUUACUUAAAGAAGUGAGGUAUAUUUUUAAUAAAUAUGCAGUACUUGGUGAUAGAAUCUGUUCACCUAUGUAACCUUCCCCAUAUCCACUCCUCAAACCCCUUAAGUACCAACAUCAAAUCCCACAUCCACUUACAUCCAUUCCUCAAACCCCACAUUACCGAAUCAAACCCACACAAUUGUUGUAUAUCUAUGUACAUAUAUAUAUUUAAAUAAAUAAAAUGUCAAUUUACAUA
rnacentral:lncRNA from 1 species